CACAGAGACGUUCGCAAAUCCUUGGAGAACCAAGAAGGCUUUGAAGCUUAACCCAACCAAACAAAAAUAACUAUUGAACUCAUAGAAGAAGCUUGGGCUCGCCACUCACCACCCACGCCGUCCAGUAUACUACGGCAGACCGGCACGCAGUGACACCUAAUGACAGCCCCUCAUCUUCACUUCUGAUUCAUUUCCAUUGUUUUAGCAAAGUUUGCAAUGUUAACAGCGAGAAUGUGGUACUAUACCUGCUAAACAUUUAUAUGUGAGCACUGUCACUGCCUUGAAAAGUUGCUCACAUAUCUAUGACUCUGACACCCAUGCCGGAUUGAAGCUGAUGCAAACAA